GAUGAACGCUAGCGGCAGGCCUAACACAUGCAAGUCGAGGGGCAUCAUGGCGUAGCAAUACGCUGAUGGCGACCGGCGCACGGGUGCGUAACGCGUAUGGAACCUACCCACCGCAGGGGGAUAACCCGCCGAAAGGCGGACUAAUACCCCAUGGUUCCCCGACCCUGCCUGGGGUUGGGGGUAAAGCCUACGGGCGGCGGUGGAUGGCCCUGCGUGCCAUUAGCUGGCUGGUGGGGUAACGGCCCACCAGGGCGACGAUGGCUAGGGGGUCUGAGAGGACGAUCCCCCACACUGGUACUGAGACACGGACCAGACUCCUACGGGAGGCAGCAGUCGAGAAUAGUCUACAAUGGUCGAAAGACUGAUAGUGCGACGCCGCGUGAACGAAGAAGCCCUUCGGGGUGUAAAGUUCUUUUAUAUGUGAGCAGUGACGCCCAUAUUAAUAGUAUGGGUGUAGAGAUAUUAGCAUAUGAAUAAGCAACGGCUAACUCCGUG
rnacentral:rRNA from 1 species